AGUUUGAUGUACAAAAAUAUGUGACACGUCGACUGUUGGCUGCAGCCGAAGACCAGUCGGUCAUUUUACAGAUUGAUUUAGAAAAAUUUGGAUCACAGCAUCUCAUUCUCAACAUGAAUCUUUUACAGAUCCUAUGCACUAUUUUUUUACUGGGAGUUUCAGUAAAUGCCGAUCCUACAAUCUUCUCUCAGUCUCCAUCAGUUAUUCCUGUGACUCCUGGACAGUCUGUCACCCUGGAAUGUGCUGUGAAAAAUGAAAAUGUUUCGAGGGUGUCUAUGCGCUGGAUUCGCCAGUCACCUGGAAAGGCACCUGAAGGUGUCCUGAGAUACAUGGCUGACAACAAAAUCUACAGAGCUCCUGCGAUAUCAGAUCGAUUUGUACCAUCAAGAGAUACAGUCAGGAGUUAUUAUCUUCUCACAAUUAAUAAUGUCGAGGCAAAUGAUGACUCCAAAUACUACUGCUUCAUUUACUAUACUGAUGGAAAUCAAGCAUGGGGAGAAGGGACUCGAGUACAAGUUCUGAGAAGUGACCUUCCUCGUCCGUCUGUUCAGGUUCUUCCUCCCCCACAAGAGCAGCUCAGCGGUUCAGGCCAAGUGACUCUCAGCUGCCUG